GGCCGCGUGGCGGAACGCAUAAAGCGUCUGCCUACGGAGCAGAAGAUUGCAGGUUCGAAUCCUGCCGUGGUCG
rfam:Angiostrongylus cantonensis strain Taiwan genome assembly, scaffold: ACAC_scaffold0003519